rnacentral:rRNA from 1 species
ACCGAAAGGGGAAGGACCUUGGUUAUUAGGAGCCGGCACAGGUGGUGCAUGGCUGUCGUCAGCUCGUGUCGAGAGAUGUUGGGUUAAGUCCCGCAACGAGCGCAACCCUUGUCCUUUGUUGCUAACAGGUAAAGCUGAGAACUUUAGGGAGACUGCCAGGGACGACUUGGAGGAAGGUGGGGAUGACGUCAAGUCAUCAUGCCCUUUUUACCCUGGGCGACACACGUGCUACAAUGGUUUGUACAAAGGGAAGGGAACCUGUGAGGGGGAGGGGAUCCCAAAAAGCAAAUUUCAUUUCGGAUGGCAGGGUGCAACCCGCCUGGGUGAAGUUGGAAUCGCUAGUAAUCGCGGGUCAGCAUACCGCGGUGAAUACGUUCCCGGGCCUUGUUCACACCGCCCGUCACACCACGAAAGUCUGCAACGCCCGAAGCCGGUGAGCUAACCUUUUUGAGGAGGCAGCCGUCGAAG